rnacentral:rRNA from 1 species
AUGCACCGCGGCGAUCGGGAUCCGUUUACCGAUUCGCCGGCUCCAGGCACGACGACGAGGAACGAGAGAGAGGGAAGGACCGGGCGGGCGGGAAGGAGAGGAGCUAGCCGAACCUGUGGUGGCCGGUGCGGAGAAGAAGAGCACCGCCGCGAGCAGCACGGCGCAGCAGGCCGCGGAUCUGGAGCUCCCGGCGACGCCACCAACCGGCGCCAUUUCCUCCACCGACACUCCCCAGCAGCAGCUGCAGCUACCCACCCACCGAUCCCCGCUCCGCUCUGCACGGCGAGGAAUGCGGCCGCGCCCGCCGAGGAAGGGGGCAGCUGGAGAUCUGAGGCGACUGAGCAGGUGGUGGUGGUGGAGGAGGAGGGAGUGGGACUUAAAGCAUGUGCGGCCGCGGCCGUCUCCCCAGUUUUUACUGCGACGAGACGAGACGAGACGAGACGCGCUCCGUCUGCGAGUCUGCUUGCUCCCUCACGGACGCUUCCUUGCGCGCCUCGGUGGGAAUUAUAUCGCGGGGAGGGGGCGCCUUUUUUUUCUUUCCUCACCCGCGGAUGUGACGGCCCAACCUCCGAGGUGGUUCGGACCGAAAUGCCCUCCGCUCGUACAGCUGUUCCCUAUUGGGCGAUGGAUGUCACUCGUCGGGAGCUGGGACAGGGACUGCGACCUCUGCCCCGGCCAUGGCGCUCGGGAGUGGAUCCUUCUGCAUGA